rnacentral:misc_RNA from 1 species
AAUGAAGCAGAAAACUUUGGAAACCCCUUCAGUGUUAGGUGUCGAAAAAGAGUCGCAGAGUAAGUUCUUGAAGGAAGACUUGAAAGAUUCCUCAGAAAAAUGUGAUACUCAACAGGUAUCUAGUGAAGAAGCUACUGAAACAGCCAGUCUCACCCAAAAACCAGAAACUCUAGUAACAUCACCUGCCAAGGAGCUUAAGACUGGUGUGGAAACAGGAGUCAGCAAGGUUUUUAAAGAAAAAGAUGCACUGGAGGAAAUAGCUAUGGGGGAACAGUUUCUUCCUUCAACAGUCACUGAAACAAAACCAGCUGAUGUGGACCCUGUGUGUCUGGACAUAUCACAAAAUGUUACAGACAGAAAAGCCACUACCAUUGUAAAACCACAAGUUACUGUAAAAGGAGAGAAACUUUUUGAAAGCUUGUCCAAGGAAAAGAAAAUUGUUACUGCUGAAAUAAGUAGAACAGAGCACCACUCAGUAACUAAGAAAUCUCCGUUCAAAUCACAAGUUGUAGAGCCAUCUGUUACAAAGCUGCCGACAGCUGAUGCAGAAAGGCUUCAAAGUACAUCAGCUGCAAAUACAGGAUCAUUUUUAAAUAAACAAAAGCCCUCUAUUGUUGCACCCAGAGCUCUGAAACAGUUGAUGGAUGCUUAUGGUGAUGAGGAGUCACAGGAUUCUGAAGAGCUUUCUGAAAUAUAUUCAGAGAAAUCAAGCUCUUAUGGCCAAUCAAUUGAAGAAAAGGUCUCUGACAAAAUUUCUCAAGACUUUGCAUACAAGUUGGUUGAGAAAUCUGUCAAAGUAGAUGCAACUUCAUCUCAAAAAAUUCAGAGUGUACAAGGGAGUAAAGGAACAGAAGAGGGCGAAAACAUCUCGACCAGUCCUGGACCUAAGUCCUCCAUUGAUUUACUGGAAGGUAGGGGCAUACAAGGAGCACCAGUUGUCUCCGAAGCAUUACUGCCUUUGGAACAGAAACAAAAAACCGAUGGUGUGCCGAAGGCAAAAAGUCAGCUUCCUGAAAAAGUUGCAGUAAAUAAAUCCGGCACAAUUAGUUCUGUACUCCCAGCUUCAAGUAUCAGUAAAGAGAAGGAUAAAACAUCACAGCAGGAUAAAGUGGAGACCAGUGAGGUCACUGUAGAUAUAGAUCGCCCUUCCACAAGUUCAUUGGAAGCAUCACCAACUAUUGGUAAAAGGAAACCACCGUCAACUGUAAUUGAGAGUGAAUCAGAUGUUUUGCAGAAAAUGUCAGCAUUUAAUAAGCAGGCAAAUGUCUCUUCUCCAAUAGUUGAAAGUAAGGAAUCUAAAAAAACAAAACUUUCAGUGGCAGGUGCAAAAGAAACUGAUGAAGCUGUGUCAAAAAAAUCACAAAAUAUACAACCCUCUGCAAUGGAUAAUACAGACAUUAUGUUGACAGAACCCUCAAAGACAGACAUUUCUAAAUCAGCUGGUAAAAUGCAACCAGAGUUGAUUGACAGCAAGAGACAGGAAGACAAAACGAAGUCAAGUGUGGCGGUGUUUGAAGACAUAUCUCCAUUAGUUGAAGAAGUGGUUAAAAAGGCUGUAGCUGAAAAGAAGGAUCCUGAAUCAAAUUUAAAAAUUAUCUCAGAAACUCUUGGAGAUAAGAAAGAGCACGCUGUAGUAAAAGAAAAGAAUACUGAGGGUUCUGAUGCUCCUUCUGAUAAUAGAAAAGUGCCAGAGACAGUAAAGGUGACAUCAAAGGAGAAAUCAGAAAAGGGUCCGAAAGAAAACAAGGAGAAAACUCCAAUGCCACAGAAUGACAAUGAAACAGGAACUUCACCAUCUGAGGCAGAUGUUAAAUCAAAGGCUUCAGAGCGAUCUAGUAAACGUGACACAAAAGUAAGUGAAGCUGAAACAGUGAGUGCAGGAGCGGGUCAACCUAAGGAGAUUGUUCCAGAACCAACUCGAGAAUCAUCUGAAGAAACAGACCGCAGGAAAAUUACUUCAGUGGUAACAUCUGUCAAACAAAAAUGUGAAACUUCAGCAUCAGUACCUGAACGUAAAUGUUCCACAGAUGGACCAAAGGCACCUCCAAGGCACACUGAACCAAAGGCUAGCACGAUUCAUGCAGAACAAUGUUUCCCUCAGAUAGUGGAACAGAAAACUGAGCCUUUGAAAAGAAAGCAAACAGUUGUUGAGAAGCUGCAGAAAGCUGCUGUUGUGGAAGCAAAAGACGCAAUAAAACGACCUGAAAUGAGGCUCAGUGUUCAGUCUGUGAAGGAGGAAACUGAAAUUAAUUCCAGAGCCAAGAAGGAAAUGCUGAGCACACUAGUGCAAGCUAAUGAAUCACAUAAAAGUCCUCCAGAAACAGAGAAUGUGCAAAUGAAAGAAGAAACUAGAGAGCCAUUGCCAGCAACAGAAGCAAAGGACACUGUUAUCAAAGCUGAAAUGAAACAUAGUGCUCAUCCUACAGGUAGAAAGCUGACUCUUUCACUGGAAGAAACAGCAAGUCAUUCUGCAGAUGCUAAAGAAAAACUGAGUACUCUGUCUCCAACAGGUAAAGUGGAGAGAAUUCCAUCAGGGCCUGCUGAUAGAGAAGCUAAAGCUAAUCUAAAACCAUUGCCACCAAAAACUGAAUCGCUUGCUCCUGAAGCUGAAUUAAAAUCAGUUGAACAAUCACAAGAAGAGAAGUGGCCAGCAUCCCCAACCAAAGUUGAAAUUAGGUCUGCUAUCACCAUGGAAAAAUUGAGUGUGUUACCAGCCCAAACUAUUGAAAAAAUUCCACAAAAGAGUAUGGAUGUGAGAAUGGAAGCAAUUCAGAAUGCAACUAAAGAAAAAAUAUUUGGGUCUGAAUUAAAAACUGAUGCUGUGCCUGUGGAGCAAAAGAGGGCUAUGGUGGCACGGAAAAGUGAAAUUAGUCAUUUCGCUGCCAAAGAAAAUGUUAGCACCUUACCAGCGAUAGAUGCAACAGAAAAAAAAUUGCCAAAAAUCUCUGGCACUAAAGUAAUUGAAGGGAAGCAAAAACCAAUUUACACAGAGGUAAAAUCAACUGUACCUAAACUUGAAUUGAAACCAAAAGGGCAUCAUGAAAAGAUUCAGAUGCCUCAGUCAUCAAAACCAGGUGUUCUUAAGUCUGGAUCAGUAAAGGAAAAUCCUCUAACAAUAUCACAUGCAAGCAAAAUGGGGAAAAUUUCAUCUGAAAGUUCUGAUACUGAAAUGGCCAAAGAAAAACAGACAUCUGUUCCAAAACAGGUUAAAGCAUCAGUGCCCAGUUCUGAAUUAAAAUCUGCUGCACUGCACAAAAAAGAAGAGGUGGAAUCUUCCUCCAAAAAGAAAACAGAAACUAAGUCUGAUACUGUUGAGGAGAAAGCAAGUCUGUCAUUGGUGAAAGCUCUCAGCACAGAUUCUGUAGACAGAGUUGAAAACAACUCAGUUAUACAAACCACAGAAGUUUCUGAGAAGCUUGAUAAUGUUUCUCUAACAGUAAGACCACCCGUUUUGUCACCAUCAGAACAGAGAAAACCACAAACUGGUGAAAAAGAAAUAAUUAAACAGAAGAAUGGCUCAAAGGAGCAAAGAGAGAAAGAAGACAAGACUGAGAGUCAAAUACCAGCUGCCAUUAAAGAAGAUUCUUUGAGUGUAACUGUAGGCUCAAAAGAUCCAGAGUUAAUUUCUUCUCUGGCAAAUCUGAAUGUUAUAUCUACAAGCAAAAUAGAUAAUAAGGGGAUGCCUUUGGUUAAGGACGGGGGUAGUUCAGAAAUAAGUACAUCAGAAACUCUUGUUGUCUGUUCAGAGGACGUUUCACAUAAAGUCGUGCCGGAGGUGUCUGCUAAGAAAAUUGAAACAGAGCAAGGUGCUAGUGUGAAAGAACGGCAAAUAACAGGGUCUUCAGUGUCAAGCUGGAAACCAGUUGCUUCAAAAGGGGUUUCUGAUCUUCAUGAGUUAACUGAGACAGAAAGAGUGGAGAAGCUUCUGCCCAAAACAGAGGAAGAAAAGUUAGUUCCAGAUAGUGUGAGGGGUGAAGCAACAAAGCCUGCAACAAAUCUUGCAGCUCUCAAGGGAAAGCCACAGACUUCCAAAGAAACAGAAACAAUAACUGAAUAUGCUCAAGCGACCAACACGACAGCUGUUGAGGACAGGAUGAAGACCAAACCUGAAGACAUUUGUGGUGGUCAAGAGAAAUCGGUGAAGAUGUCAGAGGAUGUAACUGCCGUGUUGUCUUCAAAGGAGUCUUUGAAUAAAGAAAGAUUGAAGGAUGCUGCAGAGAAAGUUAAAGUUGAAACUAAAUUAGAGGAAAAGAAAGGUGAAAGAAGUAAAAUAGAAGAGACAGUGUUGAAAACAAAGGAAGAUGACAAUGUCUCAAAGUCUGAUGAGAAAUCUGAUGAAGCAAAGUAUGAUGACAAAGGAGAUUUUAAGUUGAGACAUGCUGAGGUUAAACAUUCAGCAUCUGGCCCACUUAUGGUAAAUACAGACGCCUGUGUUACUAAAGAUAAGAAACAGACCACAAAUGAGACAGAGACGAUAACCAUCACAAAGAAUGAAAAAGCAGAUGUAGUGAAAGGUAAGCCUAGUGUGUUGAAGGUAUUUGCAGGGAAAAAGUUUCUACAGGAAAGUGUUGUGACUGAAAAAAGUGAUGAAAAAGAAGAUACUGAUUCUCAUGAAACAAGUGAUGACUUGAAAUUUGUUGACAAACAUGAGGAAGUCACCACAGGUGAUGAAAAGGCUUUAGAAGUGUUAAAACCUUCGCCGGAAGCUUCUGUUGUAGUUGAGAAAGCUGAGGGUAUGCGUUUUCUGUUGGACAAUGUGCCCAAAGUUGAUACUGAAGAGAAACUGAAGCACUCUGAAAAAACCCUAAAGAAAGUUGUAAGCUUAGAGGAGGCUCUGCCAUCAGAUGAAGGUCAAGAAAAGAAAACAGAUUCAUACAUGAAGGAUUCCAAGUUGAUGGGUGAAGAGAAAUUGACAGAUACUUCAAUUUUGAAGGAUACAGAGAGCACUGGUAAGCAAGUUGACACAGCAGUAACAAAGUCUGAUUCAUCACUUGAACACAGUGGAAGCAAAGCAGAUAAGUCUGGGAAGAAGUCAGUCAAUGAGAAGGAAAUUGCUCGAGAAGAAUCACUCGAUCAAGCACAGUUGGCCAAAAAUAAAAAAGGCUUUGUACAAACUAAAGAGCCUGUGAGUAGGAAACAGGAAGAGGAUAAAUUGGGGAAGAAACCAGCUGAUGAGAAGGAAGGUGCUCAACAACUUGGACCUCAUCGUACUGCUGAAAAUAAACAGAAAGAAGAUAAAUUAGCAAAGAAAUUGAUAGACCAGAAGGAAUAUUCUCAGGAACUCAGACCGGAACAAGCCACUGAAAAUAAACAGGAAGAGAAUAAGCCAGAAAAGAAACCAGUCGACAAGAAAAAAGGUGACCAAGAACUCAGGUCAGAUCGCACCACUGAAAAUAAACAGGAAGAGAAAGACAAAUUGGGAAAGAAACUAGUUGACAAGAAGGAAAUUAAUCAAGAACUCAAAGAUCAGGCUAUUGAAAAUAAACAGGAAGAGGAUAAGCCAGCAAAGAAGCCAGCUGACAAGAAAAAAGGUGACAAAGAAGUCAGACCAGAUCAGAUCAGUGAUGACAAACAGGAAGAGGGGGGCAAAUCGAUAAAGAAACCAGUCAGCAAGGAGGAAGUUAGUCAAAGACCAGUUCAGGCUACUAAAGAUAAACAGCAAGGUGACAGGUCAGUAAAGAAACCGGCUGACAAGAAAAAAGGCGACCAAGAGAUCAGACCUGGUCAAGCCACUGAAAAUAAACAGGAAGAGGAGGACAAAUUGGAAAAGAAACCGGUUGACAAGAGGGAAUUUAGUCAAGAACUCGGAGAAGAUCAGGCUACUGGAACAAAAAGGCUAGAGGGUAAGUCAGGAAAGAAACCAGCUGACAACAAGAAAGGCAACCAAGAACUCAGGGUAGAUUAUAUCCCUGAAAACAAACAUGAAGGGAAGGACAAAUCUACAAAGAAACCAAUUGACAAGGAGGAAGUCAUUCAAGAACUCGGAGAAAAUCACACUACUGAAAGUGAACAAAAAGUGAAUACGUCAGUAAAGAAACCAGUUGACGAGAAAAAAGGUGAACAAGAUCUCAGACCAGAUCAGAUCACUGAAAAUAAACAGGAAGAGGAGGACAAAUCGAUAAAGAAACCAGUUGACAAGGAGGAAAUUAGUCAUGAACUCGAACAAGAUCAGGCAACUGAAAAUAAGCAGCAAGUGGGUGAGUCAGUGAAGAAACCAGUUGAUAAGAAAAAAUGUGACCAAGAACUCGGAGUUGAUCACACCACUGGAAGUAAACAGGAAGAGGAGGACAAAUUGGGAAAGAAAACAGUUGACAAGAAGGAAAUUAGUCAAGAACUCGGACAAAAUCAGACAAAUGAAAAUAAACAGCAAGAGGGUAAGUCAGUAAAGAAACCAGUUGACAAGGAAAAAAGUGAUCAGGAACUCAGACCAGAUCAGAUCAGUGAAAAUAAAUGGGAAGAGGCGGCCAAGUCAAUAGAGAGACCCCUUGAUGAGGAAGAAGGUAGUGAAGCACUCAGACCAGAUCAGGUUACUGAAAAUAAACAAGUAGUAGUUAAGUCAGUAAAGGAACAAGUUGAUAAGAAGCAAGGUGACCGAGAAUUCAGACCAGAUGAGAUUACUGAAAAUAAAAUAGAAGAGCAGAAGUCAGGAAAGGAACCAACUUACAAGAACAAAGGUGACCAGAAACUCAGAUCAGAUCAUACUACUGAAAAUAAACAGGAGGAAGAGGAGAAAUCGAGAAAGAAAUCAGUCGACAAGGAGGAAGAUAGUCAAGAAGCCAGACCUGAUCAGGCUGCUGUGAAUAAACCGAAAGAGGAAAAGUCAGUAAAAAAACCAGUAGACAAGAAAAAAGGUGACCGAGAACUCAGACCAGGUCAGACCACCGAAAACAAACAGGACGAGCAGGAAAAAUUGAGAAAGAGACCAGUUCACAAGGCGGAAUUUAGUCAAGAGCUCAGUCAAAGUGAUGCUAUUGAAAAUAGACUGGAAGAGAAUAAAAAAGUAAAGAAACAGCUUGGCAGGAAAAAAGGUGAACAGGAGCUUGGACCAGAUCAGACCACAGAAAAGAAGCGAGAAGAGGAGAACAAAUCGGGAAAGAAACCAGUUGAAAAGAAGGAAGGUAGUCAAGAAUUCAGACAAUAUCAGGCUACUGAAAAUAAACAGGAAGAAGCAAAGUCAGUAAAGAAACCACUUGACAGGAAAAAAGGUGACCAAGAAAUUGGACCACAUCAAGCUACUGAAAAUAAACAAGAGGAGGAAGAGAAAAUGAAAAAGAAAGCAGUCGACAAGAAGGAAGUUGGUCAAGAAUUAAGACUAGAUCAGGCUACUGAAAAUGAACAUGAGGAGAACAAGUCAGCAAAGAAACCACUUGAAAGGAAAAGAGGUGACCGUAAACUCAGACCAGAUCAGACCACUGAAUACGUACAGGAAGAGGCCAACGAAUCAGGAAAGAAACUGGUUGACAAGAAGGAAGUUAGUCAAGAACUCGAACAAGAUCAGGCUACUGAAAAGAGACAGAAAGAGGAUAAGUCAGGAAAGAAACGAGUUGACAAGAAAAAUGAUGACCAAGAACUAAUACCAGAUGAGAGCAAUGAGAAUAAACAGGAAGAGGAGGACAAAUUAAUAAAGAAAUCAGAUGACAAAAAGAAAGUUGGUCAAAAACUCAGACGGGAUCAGGUUACUGAAAACAAACAGGAAGAAGAUAUGUCAGGAAAGAAACCAGUUGACAAGAAGGAAAAUGCCCGAGACUUUGUAUUAGAUAAGGCUGCUGAAAAUAAAAAAGCUGCUGCAGACAGUCAUGCAUCUCUGAGUAGUCAAAAAGAAGGGGAGGGUAAGUCAGCGAAAAAACCUCAUGACAAGGAAGAAAUUGCUCGAGAACUUGAACCAGCUCAGUCUGUCAAAAUUAAAAAAUCCACUGGAGAUAUUGAUCUAUCUUUGGAUAGUUCACAGGAAGUGGGGACACCUGCGAUUUCUCUCAGCAAAACUGAAUCUCACGACGCGAAAAGUAAGUCCGUGAAAACAAUUCCUGCAAAAGAUGUGGAAAUCAAAGAGCAGGCAAAGGAACUUAUUAUUGAGGCAGACAAACAGGAUGCUGCUGUGGAUUCUGAUGGCAAUAUCUCCACUUCUGUUUCAAAGGUCAGUGUUCCAGAAGUCCAGGCACUUGAAAAAUCUGAAACUGGGCGGAGCCCUUCACCGACAAAAUCAUCUCUAAAACGUAGAAGAGAUAGAUCUCACAGUGAACCGAUAGACAAGGAUAGUAAAGGUGAUGAUGAGAAGCCAAGUGCAAAACUGUUGAAGACAGACAGUUCAGCAUCACAAGAGAAAAUAAUCUUGAGAGUGAGAACGCAAAGUCUCUCUUCUGAUGGAGACAGCAGAAAAUCACCCAUGGACCCAGCCACAUAUUCUCCAAAAUCUGCAGCAAGUACAGGGAACAAAAGUGCCGAAGAACCUACAGUUCCGAAGCUGACAAUAAAAAUACCGAAAGCCGACGAUACUGUGGCAAGUCUGAAAACGGAGAAAUCUGAAAGGAGCAGUCCGAAACAUCAAAAACCGGUGGAUCUGGAAACUGUUCAUAGUGAGCUAUCUGCUGAAGAAAGUAAGAGAGGGAAAGUAGCGUUAAAGAUAAGUAUACCAGCAGAAAAACCAUCUGAAGAAUGCAGGCAGUCACCAAAAUUAGAGAAACUAACCAUUAAGAUACCUAAGCAAGGAGAAGGAAAACAUUCUGAACCGUAUAUUGACUCACCCAGGUCAAGAGAGGAAGGGAGGGUGGAAAAAUUGACACUGAAAAAGGUGAAAGGUCACUUUUCACCUGUUACAAAAGAUGAUAGUCUGCAAGGAGAAUCUAAAACUGAAAAAUUUCACAAAAAAGUGCCAAAAAGUGAUGGGGCCAGUGUAUCAUUUGCAGAGGAAGAGAAUAAGGAAGUGGGAACUAAUGAUGGCGGACUGCUGCUACAAAUUGCGAAAGUAGCAGAUGUAAAGCAGACGAGUAGUAAUCUUCCAGAAGCAUCAGUUGAGGGAGAACCGAAGGUGGAAAAGUUAACACCGAAAGUAACGACUGAGGCAAAAAUGUUGGAAGCUACCAGUACUGAUGCUACUGCAAAAGAAAUAGUUAAAACAGAAAAAGUAAUUACAAAACCCUUGAAGUCAGCUGAUAGCAUAGCAAUUGAAGCAACAGCAGAAACUGAAGAACCCCAAGUAGACAAAUCCUCAUCAAAAACAAGAAAAGCGGCACAAGCAUGUCUCACAGUUUUGGCAACAGAGACAAAAGACGAUGAAAUUGCAAUAGAAAAACCCUCGCAAAAAAUGUUGAAACAGAGAGAAACCUCUGCAUCUCCUGCAGCAGAAAUUGAAGAAGGAAGGAAAAUGGAGAAAUUGACUCUGAAGUUUUCUAAAGACUUGGAAAGCAAGAGCAGCUUUAGAGUUUCCUCUCCUGUUCCAAAGGAAGAUGGAGGGAAAAUUGAGAAACUCUCACCAAAAGUGACAAGAGCAUCAGAGACAAGUGCGACUUCUAGUGCUCAGAAACGGCACGAGACUGAAGUGCAGCACGGAAAUUCUGAUAAGAAUAAGCGUCCAAAAUUACAGACGCGCAGUGAAGCUACAAUGGUUAAAGACUCUGAAAGACAAGAAGAAAUGCAUGUUGAGAAUUUACCAUUAAAAGGUAGAGGAGCCUCUGGGGCAAGUACUGCCAAAGGCAAACACCCACUGGUGCAAAAGGACUCUCCGAAGAAGGAAAAUGUCACUGCUCGUCCGGCAUCGCCACAUAAGGUGAAGGACAAACAUAGAAAAUUGAGUACAGAAGCUGAAACUACUGGAGAUGACAAAGGAAUGAAGUUGGUGUCGGCUGCUGUAAAAAUAGAGGAAUCAGUUACAGAAAUUUCUGUGGCAACUUCAUCUUCCAAAGAAUGUGAAGAACGUGAAGAAACUUCAGAAAAGCUGCCUACAAAUUUGGAAGCACCAGUUGUAGAAAGUGGAAAGCACGAGGUCUCAUCAUUCGAGGAAAUUGGAGAAGGAAAUCGAGAGGACACGAGGGAGCCAGAAGAUCUUUUGACACUGAUUUCUAAACAAGAAUCUGAACAUACCCUAAUGUCACAGUUACCGGUGAUAAUAGAUGUCAGAAGUGAACAGGAAACGGGAUCACUGUCAUCUGUCGAUGACGUGCAAAGUAUUGGAAGACUCUCAGAUUCACAAGAUUUUGAUGUCAUAGAAUCUGAAGAAAUCGUACGAGGCACAAACAAACAGAAGGGAACAGAAGUUUCAGAAACAAAAGAGCGCCAGGGCUCCAGAGCCGGAAUAAGUGACAGCCGUGUACACGAAUCGUCAGCCCGCAAGAGAAGUGUGUCACCACUGCAGUCUAUCCUCAAAGAAGCACUUGCAAGAGAACAACCUGUUACAUCGGUAGCUCAUUCUGAACGAUCUAAAGCUUCCCUUGUGAAGGGUGAAAAAGUAAGUACUUCUUCCUCAGAAAGAAAAGUGGCAAAGGAACAGGUUCCAGCUAAAGGGGCAAAGAUGGCAGGAGAAGUCAGUAAAUCGGUGCAUGUCAGCAGUGCAGCUAGCCGUGAAAUAAAGAGUGGUGAUGGCACACAUUCUAAACUGGAAAUUUUCGAAGUUAAGAGUGGAGCGCUCCAUAAUCGAGAUAGGGUAGCUGCCAGACAGAAACGGGCAAGCUCAGGUGAGCAGAUACUAGAGCGGGAAGUGAGAGUGCAAAAGCUUAACCCGAAGCAAAAAGCUCUUCUGUCUCCAAAGCAGAAGCAGAGUGCUUCAGCAAUGGAACUCGGUGACUCGACAUCCUCGAGAGCUGAACACUCCAGCAAUCUUGAGAAAAUGGCACCAAGACUGCCGACGGCAGAUAUACCCAAGUUGCUGAAGAUACCAGGAAGACAGAAGAGACUCGCCGGUUCUUUGUUAUCACCACCGCCAGCAAACCAGAAUCAGCAAUCUACUGUGAAAGUGAUAGAACUGGGUGAUAUCGAUGACGGUGAGUCACCAUCGACCAGGAAAAAGAGAGAGUCUGAUCUGGAGAGUAUAGAAACCAUACGCACAACCACUCCUAUAGCCAGGAAGCUCUCGCGCUCGUCUAGGUCCUCUGUCGAAUCUGUUGAAGACACCUCUCCUAGUAAGAAGUUGCGCCUGGAAACAGAAGCAGGCUCACCGCCUCCCGCCAGCUCAGCUCCCCACAAACGACAGUCCCUGUCGCCGGCAGCAGCACAUGUGCCUGUGAAGAGGCAGCGGGGAUCCUCCGGACCUUCUGGCGACACUCCAGACGAGCCCCUGGAAGUGGUCCCUCCUGCUGCAGGUGUGGAACGCCUCCGCGCUGUACUGGGUCCUGACAUGUCUAUCAGUCUGGCGGGCCAUAGGACACCCACGCACGACGAGUCCUCCGGUGCUUCGUCUGAGGAUGUACAGAUAAUAGAGGUGGUGGAAAGGCAGCCGCUCAAACCACCCCAACCGCCCCCAGUUGAUGCCUUUGAUGACAAUAGCUCACAGGAUGUGAUCAUUGUCGAAGAGGUGGGCACACCAAUGCCACCAGCUCGUAUGCCAGAAAUGCCGACACGUGGUGGUAAGAGAAUGAGAGGCCGACCUCGGCGAAUGAGUGUGCAGCCCACGAGCCCUGUCUCGCGCCACCACGAGGAGCCGGUGCUGCCACCUGCCCAGCAAGUCCCAGAUCCCGGCUUGACGGCCUCCGGAAGGCCAAAAAGGUCGUGCCGUGGCCGUGAGCUUCCUUUCGUCGAAAAGAAGAAGACCCGUGCUAGAGGUGGCGGUCGCAGACGCAGAGGUGACACACUCGCAGAUCAUCGUCCAGGUGGUCUGUCUGAGUUUGCACGCAGCUUCUCUGGGUCUCUCUCUCCAACCAGCAUCUCUGGUGCUAUUCCACACGAAAUGUUACCACAGCCGGCGAAGAAGAGCUUCACGUUGGGUGACAAGUCUCCUUCCGGGCUAUCCAGGUCGGGUGCUAUUCCACAAGAAACGUUGCCGGAGCCGGUGAAGAAGAGCUUUGCAUUAGGCGAGAAGUCUCCUCCCACACUACCCAGAUCCAGUGCUAUUGCACAUGAAGCGUUACCAGAGCCGGGGAAGAAGAGCUUCGCAUUGGGCGAGAAGUCACCUCCUGCGCUACUCAGGUCGCCUCCUGGCCUGCUGUCUCCUCCGAGGGUGAAGUCCCCUGAACCCAAGUCACCCCCAUCGAAGCACCAGAAGGCAGGGCCAGGAAAGAAGUCCGCCGCCACUGCUAGGCGAGCGUCACUGGUGGCUGCAGAAAAGGAGGCACUACCAGCAGAUUCCGAGGCAGUCACUGAAACGACUCGAAGAAGGUCAACAGAGACGAGGGAAAUGCAGCCUGCGGACGGAGAGCCGACUGCGGCAACUCCAGAUGUGAUCGUCGAACCUCGCACCCCUGAGCCUACUGUUGAACCUACGGCAACUGCACAGAGUGUAUCUCUUGUACCAUCAGGACCACCAUCACCGAUGCAGGCUCCACCGAUGGCAAGUGAGCCUCCAUCACCGUGUCCUGCUCCGAGUACAGUGCAGGUGUUCGAAGAAGAGACGCGCAUGAGUGCCGAGGGUGCAGUAGUUGGGAGAAUGGCAGAGCCUGAGAGUGCAGAAGGCAGUCGGGCUCAGUCUCCAGUGCAGAUCCCUGACAAGAUCCCUGUGGCCAAGACACCAGGUGCAGAAGGAGUUGGUGAAGAAUCUCAGGGCAGUGUGAUCAGCACAGCGACAACUGAAAGCGUGAAAAAGAAGAAUCGUAUGGAGGUGUGUGACGCAGAAAUCAAGGUGUUCACAGUGGAUCAGAUAGCAGAGUACCAGUGGCCAGAAAAGUCUGGCGAUCACUUGAUGAUUCAAGAGCAAAUCUCCGAGUACCUCGGUAUAAAGUCUUUCAAGCGAAAAUAUCCUGACCUUCAGCGACGUCCCAUAGAUGCCGAAGAGAAGACCUACCUUCGUGACAAAGGGCUUGUCUCCGAAAACAUGUGUGACAUGGGUCUAACUGCAGUACUCUCGUCAGAAGUGUUGGAUAUCAUGUACACAGAUUUCCAGGACAAGUACGAAGAGUAUCGCCGAUAUCUCCGCGAUCGCCAGGCAAAGGAACUUAGCUCUAGGCAGAAAGCAAUGUCCUCUCUUGUAGGUACCGGGAAUCGGCAGCAGGACACCAAGGAGAAAGCUGUCCAGUCUGCAGCCGAAUGGAAUGCCACAUUCAAUCGUGGUCGUCGCGACCAGCGCCGUUGCUGCUUUGAUCUGCAGACGUUCACCAUCCACUACCCGCAUAAUCGUGCAGUGAAAAUGGUUCCGAAGGAUGUUCCCAAAAUUGGAUAUUACCCAGUCGCGCUCAUUCCUGGACAGUAUACUGAUUAUUAUAAGAGCUAUACACCUGCGGAGCUCCGCUACUUCCCUCUCAACACGGUGCUGUACGGUCCGCUGAAGCCCAACGAACGACACCAGGAGCCUCUGCCAGGCUCUGGCGGUGGCGGCUCAGAUGGGAGCCAGUCCGACUCCGACGAUUCCAGCUCCUCUUCAGAUUCGAGUAGCAGCUCUUCGAGUGACGGGAGCCAGGAUUCAGACGACAGUGGGUCUGAAGCCGGUGAUGUGGUAGACCGAACGGACGAUAAGAAGCCUGCGGUGUCGGACGAUAAUGCAGGCGGCGGCACACCUACAGUCAACGGGACCGUCAUCAAGGUCGAAGAUGCGGCAGAGCUGAGGGAUGCGACUGCCCGGUGCAAAGUGUGUGGCGGCGACCGCAACCGCAAUAUCAAGACGGGCCGGCCGGAGCCUCUGGUCCACUGUGCGAGCUGCACACAGAGCGGUCACACGACCUGCCUCAACCUCACCGUGGACAUGGUGCCUCACAUUCGUCGCUACGACUGGCAGUGCACCGACUGCAAGAUAUGCAUCCAGUGCAAGGACCCUGCCGAUGAGGAUAAGAUGCUCUUCUGUGACAUGUGCGACCGUGGGUAUCACAUUUACUGUGUGGGGCUACGGCGUGUGCCGAGUGGACGCUGGCAUUGCAAGGAGUGCUCCAUCUGUGGCUCUUGUGGAGCGCUGACUCCUGCUGGCAAUGUUGACCCGACUACCACAAACAACGGCUCCAGUGCUUCUGUAAUAGUGAACCCACAGUGGCAGCACGAGUACAAGAAAGGAGAGAAAGGCACUAGAGUCUACGCCCAGACACUUUGUGUCCCAUGCUCCAAGCUGUGGCACAAGGGGCGUUACUGCCAGCUGUGUUGCCGCUGCUUCAACAACCGCCCGGAGGAGGAGCCGGGGCUCAUCUGCUGCUCCGUCUGCCAGAAGUGGAUGCACGCUGAGUGCUGUAAUGUAGUGCCCCGUGAAGCGAGCCGCAUCACGAGUUUCCUGUGCGAGAUGUGCCAGGAGAAAGGCCAUGCGGGACGCGCCCGCUCCCCGUCGCUCGUCAAGAUUCCCCACCCGGGACAGCCAUCCUCGGGGCCGGCCCUCUUGCUGGCAGCACCUCUGCGAGCCUGCUGAUAGGCAGAGGACAGUGUCGUAUCUCCUAGAGGCACUAGUUUACCUGAAUGUGGAGUGCCACGGUAUCCAUCUGUAUGACCAGGUCUUUGUAUCUUGCCAUGAGAUGCUACGCUGUAGUGAAUGUCACUUUCUUUUUUGUUGUGUGUGCAGAACAAGUGUACUGCCAUCUGAUUUAAGAAAAUGCCUACAAGCUUUAGCCCAGUUUUUUCAUCUGUUCUGUAAAAUGUUUUUUCUAUAAGAGUGCUAGCCACUGCCCAUCCUGUACUCAAAUUCUGGUCAGUUCUGAACUGUAUGGUUAUUUAUCUCUGUAAGAGUGAUUAUUGCUGAGGAUUAUAAUUUUUCACUGUUGAGCAGUAUUUUUUAGUGUCCAAUGCUGGAAAGGUGACUGAAUUUAGAAUGUAAAGUUGGAGUUGUACAUCACACGAAUGUAAACUCCAGAUGAUUUUGAACAAGUUUCAGUGGUAAUUAUAUGUUAAUGUGUAGCACCUUUUGGAGGCAGAGAGAGAGAGAGAGAGAGAGAGAGAGAGAGAGAGCUGUGUGUGUGUGAGAGAGAGAGAGAGAGAG